rnacentral:rRNA from 1 species
UGGCUCAGGAUGAACGCUGGCGGCGUGUCUAAUACAUGCAAGUCGAACGAACUUCCGUUAAUUGAUUAUGACGUACUUGUACUGAUUGAGAUUUUAACACGAAGUGAGUGGCGAACGGGUGAGUAACACGUGGGUAACCUGCCCAGAAGUAGGGGAUAACACCUGGAAACAGAUGCUAAUACCGUAUAACAGAGAAAACCGCAUGGUUUUCUUUUAAAAGAUGGCUCUGCUAUCACUUCUGGAUGGACCCGCGGCGUAUUAGCUAGUUGGUGAGGUAAAGGCUCACCAAGGCAGUGAUACGUAGCCGACCUGAGAGGGUAAUCGGCCACAUUGGGACUGAGACACGGCCCAGACUCCUACGGGAGGCAGCAGUAGGGAAUCUUCCACAAUGGACGCAAGUCUGAUGGAGCAACGCCGCGUGAGUGAAGAAGGGUUUCGGCUCGUAAAGCUCUGUUGUUAAAGAAGAACGUGGGUAAGAGUAACUGUUUACCCAGUGACGGUAUUUAACCAGAAAGCCACGGCUAACUACGUGCCAGCAGCCGCGGUAAUACGUAGGUGGCAAGCGUUAUCCGGAUUUAUUGGGCGUAAAGCGAGCGCAGGCGGUCUUUUAAGUCUAAUGUGAAAGCCUUCGGCUCAACCGAAGAAGUGCAUUGGAAACUGGGAGACUUGAGUGCAGAAGAGGACAGUGGAACUCCAUGUGUAGCGGUGAAAUGCGUAGAUAUAUGGAAGAACACCAGUGGCGAAGGCGGCUGUCUGGUCUGCAACUGACGCUGAGGCUCGAAAGCAUGGGUAGCGAACAGGAUUAGUAC